AUACGUAGGUGGCAAGCGUUGUCCGGAAUUAUUGGGCGUAAAGCGCGCGCAGGCGGUCCUUUAAGUCUGAUGUGAAAGCCCACGGCUCAACCGUGGAGGGUCAUUGGAAACUGGGGGACUUGAGUGCAGAAGAGGAAAGUGGAAUUCCAAGUGUAGCGGUGAAAUGCGUAGAGAUUUGGAGGAACACCAGUGGCGAAGGCGACUUUCUGGUCUGUAACUGACGCUGAGGCGCGAAAGCGUGGGGAGCAAACAGGAUUAGAUACCCUGGUAGUCCACGCUGUAAACGAUGAGUGCUAAGUGUUGGGGGGUUUCCGCCCCUCAGUGCUGCAGCUAACGCAUUAAGCACUCCGCCUGGGGAGUACGGUCGCAAGACUGAAACUCAAAGGAAUUGACGGGG
rnacentral:rRNA from 1 species